GACGACCUGUCCGAGUGGUUAAGGAGUGUACCUAGAAAUCACAUAUAGGCUUUGCCUGCGUAGGUUCGAAUCCUGCGGUCGUCU